rnacentral:rRNA from 1 species
UACGUAGGGGGCAAGCGUUGUCCGGAGUUACUGGGCGUAAAGCGCACGCAGGCGGUCGCGUAAGAGUGCGGGGACAGUGGGCGGCUUAACUGCCCAAGGGUCGCACAGACUGCGUGACUGGAGGGCCAGAGAGGGACCUGGGAAUUCCGGGUGGAGCGGUGAAAUGCGUAGAGAUCCGGAGGAACACCAAUGGCGAAGGCAGGGUCCUGGCUGGCACCUGACGCUCAUGUGCGAAAGCCAGGGGAGCGAACGGG